GUGGCUCAAAGGACUAGGGCACCGGCCCCAUAUGCCGGAGGUGCUGGGUUCAAACCCAGCC
rnacentral:tRNA from 1 species